rnacentral:rRNA from 1 species
UACGUAGGUGGCAAGCGUUGUCCGGAUUUACUGGGCGUAAAGAGCGCGCAGGCGGUCGUUCAAGUCGCGUGUGAAAGCCCCCGGCUCAACUGGGGAGGGUCACGCGAUACUGAUCGACUCGAAGGCAGGAGAGGGAAGUGGAAUUCCCGGUGUAGUGGUGAAAUGCGCAGAUAUCAGGAGGAACACCAAUGGCGAAGGCAGCUCGCUGGGACGGUACUGACGCUGAGACGCGAAAGCGUGGGGAGCGAACAGG